AAGGCUAAAUACUCCUGACUGACCGAUAGUGAACCAGUACCGUGAGGGAAAGGCGAAAAGAACCCCGGCGAGGGGAGUGAAAAAGAACCUGAAACCGUGUACGUACAAGCAGUGGGAGCCCCACCACUAAGCCAGUGGUGAACUCCACAUACGCAUCCUUUGCUGAGGAUACGGUUAACGGAGCGCAAGCGACGUUCAACCGCAAAAGAAGCAGAGGGGGCUUAGUGGUGGGGUGACUGCGUACCUUUUGUAUAAUGGGUCAGCGACUUAUAUUCUGUAGCAAGGUUAACCGCAUAGGGGAGCCGGAGGGAAACCGAGUCUUAAUUGGGCGUUAAGUUGCAGGGUAUAGACCCGAAACC
rnacentral:rRNA from 1 species